GACGAACGCUGGCGGCGUGCCUAAUACAUGCAAGUCGAACGCAGUGGGGACGGGUGAGUAACACGUGGGCAACCUCCCAUCAGAGGGGAUAAAACUUGGCAACAGGUGCUAAACCGAUGUUGAUGGAUGGACCAGCGGUGCAUUAGCUAGUUGGUGAGGUAACGGCUCACCAAGGCGACGAUGGAUAGCCGACCUGAGAGGGGGAUCGGCCACACUGGGACUGAGACACGGCCCAGACUCCUACGGGAGGCAGCAGUGGGGAAUCUUCGGCAAUGGGCGAAAGUCUGAUAGAGCCACGCCGCGUGAGUGAAGAAGGUUUUCGGGUCGUAAAGCACUGUUGUUAGGGAGGCGGUAUCUAACCAGAAAGCCACGGCUAACUACGUGCCAGCAGCCGCGGUAAUUC
rnacentral:rRNA from 1 species